rnacentral:rRNA from 1 species
CAGUCGCCACGGUAAUGCGAAGGGUGCAAGCGUUAAUCGGAAUUACUGGGCGUAAAGCGUGCGUAGGCGGUGAGUUAAGUCUGCUGUGAAAUCCCCGGGCUCAACCUGGGAAUGGCAGUGGAUACUGGCUCGCUAGAGUGUGUCAGAGGAUGGUGGAAUUCCCGGUGUAGCGGUGAAAUGCGUAGAGAUCGGGAGGAACAUCAGUGGCGAAGGCGGCCAUCUGGGACAACACUGACGCUGAGGCACGAAAGCGUGGGGAGCAAACAGGAUUAGAUACCCCCGUAGUCCCUGUCUCUUAUAC